GAUCAGCGAUAUCGAUCAAUAGCGUCCGUGCGUGAUUCGUAUUACCUUGAUUUCCGCGAGUAAAUAUAAAAUGUCGUCAUAUCCAAAAACAACGACAAGGAUUACGCUAAGUAACAAAAAAAUUAAUAGAUGGCCAAGUCGCCAAGGGUGAAACGUUUAAAACGUACACAUUAUGAUAAAUAAGGACAAACCGACGCACAUUUUACUGAAAUAU